rnacentral:rRNA from 1 species
UACGUAGGGUGCAAGCGUUGUCCGGAAUUAUUGGGCGUAAAGAGCUCGUAGGCGGUCUGUCGCGUCGGCUGUGAAAACCCGGGGCUCAACCCCGGACUUGCAGUGGGUACGGGCAGACUAGAGUACUGCAGGGGAGACUGGAAUUCCUGGUGUAGCGGUGGAAUGCGCAGAGUAGUCAGGAGGAACACCGGUGGCGAAGGCGGGUCUCUGGGCAGUAACUGACGCUGGAGGAGCGAAAGCGUCGGGGAGCGAACAGG